UGGGGAAUCUUGCGCAAUGCGCGAAAGCGUGACGCAGCAACGCCGCGUGGGGGAAGAAGGCCUUCGGGUCGUAAACCCCUUUCAGGAGGGACGAAGCCCGGGGGUGAAUAGCCUUCCCGGGUGACGGUACCUCCACAAGAAGCCCCGGCUAACUACGUGCCAGCAGCCGCGGUAAUACGUAGGGGGCUAGCGUUGUCCGGAAUCAUUGGGCGUAAAGCGCGCGUAGGCGGCCAGAUAAGUCCGGUGUGAAAGUCACAGGCUCAACCUGUGAAUGCCGCUGGAAACUGUCUGGCUAGAGUCCGGAAGGGGCGAGUGGAAUUCCUGGUGUAGCGGUGAAAUGCGCAGAUAUCAGGAGGAACACCAAAUGGCGAAGGCAGCUCGCUGGGACGGUACUGACGCUGAGGCGCGAAAGCGUGGGGAGCGAACAGGAUUAGAUACCCUGGUAGUCCACGCCGUAAACGAUGGGCACUAGGUGUGGGAGGUGUCGACUCCUUCCGUGCCGUAGCUAACG
rnacentral:rRNA from 1 species